CAGGCAGCGCCUGCACAGGACUCGCCUCCUAAGGCAACAGAAUUAGAGGAGAACCAGGAUAGGAACAAAAUGUGGGAGGAAUUCAAGGAGUUCUACAAGAAUAAAGAGAUAAUGGAAACAAAGGGGAAAGAAGACAAAGCUCCUCCGCCACCUAAGAAGAAGAAACUUUCCACAUCAACGCCAGCGGGAUGAUUGGUAUUUCAUUCUAAAUUUUUCCAGUCAAUAUCUUCGGAACGGAAACUUUGAAUAGUAUUUAUUAAAUUUUACAACUCACCUUAAAGGCGGACAGUCGGACAAUGGGAACUGAAAUAGUGUCACAGUUAAUUGGCAUAGAUAAUUAACUGGGAAGAAAAAAAUAAACGAAUAGUGGAUGCCUUUUUUACUAUAAAGUCAACGCUUGCACUACAAGCUCAACGGUUGCAGGGGACAUGAUUGCAAGUAAGAACAAGUGGUGUAAAGAUAACAGGCUUUGCAUCACCCUUCUCAUGGAUAGAGUGGAUUAAAGGCUUGCAAUGUUAAUGCUGUAAAUAAUUUACUUUUUCCCAUUUCAGUUGGUGAUUUACUUAGUUUUCACCCUUUAUCCCCGCUUCCUCGU
rnacentral:lncRNA from 1 species